AACGAACGCUGGCGCAGGCCUAACACAUGCAAGUCGAACGUGAAGCUGGAGCUUGCUCCAGUGGAAAGUGGCAGACGGGUGAGUAACGCGUGGGAACCUUCCCAGUGGUACGGAAUAACUCAGGGAAACUUGAGCUAAUACCGUAUAAGCCCUUAGGGGGAAAGAUUUAUCGCCAUUGGAUGGGCCCGCGUCGGAUUAGCUUGUUGGUAGGGUAACGGCCUACCAAGGCUACGAUCCGUAGCUGGUCUGAGAGGAUGAUCAGCCACACUGGGACUGAGACACGGCCCAGACUCCUGCGGGAGGCAGCAGUGGGGAAUAUUGGACAAUGGGCGAAAGCCUGAUCCAGCCAUGCCGCGUGAGUGACGAAGGCCCUAGGGUUGUAAAGCUCUUUUGGCGGGGACGAUAAUGACGGUACCCGCAGAAUAAGCCCCGGCUAACUUCGUG
rnacentral:rRNA from 1 species